rnacentral:rRNA from 1 species
AACGAACGCUGGCGGCAUGCCUAACACAUGCAAGUCGAACGAGACCGUCGUGUCUAGGGGCGCACCGCGACUUAACACCUGGUAACUUACCCGUAAGUUCGGUAUAACUCCCCUAAAGGUGUCCUAAGACCGGAUGAGCUCUUCGCACCAAAGAGUUAUUGCCGUUGGAUGGGCGCUGGUUGGAUUAGCUAGUUGGUAGUGUAAAAGCCUGCCAACGCGAGGAUCCAUAGCUGGUCUGAUAGGAUGAUCAGCCACACUGGGACUGCGACCCGGCCCAGACUGCUAGGGGAGGCAGCGGAGGGGAGUAUUGGACACUGGGCGCAAGCGCGACACCGCCGUGCCGGGUAAGUGAUGCAGGCCUUAGGAUUGUACAGCUCUUUUACACGGGGUGAUAAUGACGGUACCGGGAGAAUAAGCUCCGGCUAACUCCGUG